UACGUAGGGUGCGAGCGUUGUCCGGCAUUAUUGGGCGUAAAGAGCUCGUAGGCGGUGUGUCACGUCGGCCGUGAAAACCUGCAGCUUAACUGUGGGCGUGCGGUCGAUACGGGCAUCACUGGAGUUCGGCAGGGGAGACUGGAAUUCCUGGUGUAGCGGUGAAAUGCGCAGAUAUCAGGAAGAACACCCGUGGCUAAGGCGGUUCUCUAGUACGGUACUGACGCUGAGACGCGAAAGCGUGGGGAGCGAACAGG
rnacentral:rRNA from 1 species